rnacentral:rRNA from 1 species
AUGAAGGGAGCUUGCUCCUGGAUUCAGCGGCGGACGGGUGAGUAAUGCCUAGGAAUCUGCCUGGUAGUGGGGGAUAACGUCCGGAAACGGGCGCUAAUACCGCAUACGUCCUGAGGGAGAAAGUGGGGGAUCUUCGGACCUCACGCUAUCAGAUGAGCCUAGGUCGGAUUAGCUAGUUGGUGGGGUAAAGGCCUACCAAGGCGACGAUCCGUAACUGGUCUGAGAGGAUGAUCAGUCACACUGGAACUGAGACACGGUCCAGACUCCUACGGGAGGCAGCAGUGGGGAAUAUUGGACAAUGGGCGAAAGCCUGAUCCAGCCAUGCCGCGUGUGUGAAGAAGGUCUUCGGAUUGUAAAGCACUUUAAGUUGGGAGGAAGGGCAGUAAGUUAAUACCUUGCUGUUUUGACGUUACCAACAGAAUAAGCACCGGCUAACUUCGUGCCAGCAGCCGCGGUAAUACGAAGGGUGCAAGCGUUAAUCGGAAUUACUGGGCGUAAAGCGCGCGUAGGUGGUUCAGCAAGUUGGAUGUGAAAUCCCCGGGCUCAACCUGGGAACUGCAUCCAAAACUACUGAGCUAGAGUACGGUAGAGGGUGGUGGAAUUUCCUGUGUAGCGGUGAAAUGCGUAGAUAUAGGAAGGAACACCAGUGGCGAAGGCGACCACCUGGACUGAUACUGACACUGAGGUGCGAAAGCGUGGGGCGCAAACAGGAUUAGAUACCCUGGUAGUCCACGCCGUAACGAUGUCGACUAGCCGUUGGGAUCCUUGAGAUCUUAGUGGCGCAGCUAACGCGAUAAGUCGACCGCCUGGGGAGUACGGCGCAAGGUUAAACUCAAUGAAUUGACGGGG